rnacentral:misc_RNA from 1 species
GAGAUUGUACUGGUAACAGUAAUUUAGUAGGCUGUAAUGUGAAAAUUGUUUGUCUUGGAUUUGUAUGUCUGUGCCUGCUGCUAUUACAUCGUCUCGCCAACUGGUACUUAAUAGACUAGUAGCACUACCAGAAUUCAGCAUUGAAAAAAGAAGGUGCUUCUGGUUGAUCUGAGUUGAUAAAAUUUCUGUCAAAUUUAUUUUUUUGAUUGUCUAUUGAGCUCUCUGAAUGCUGAAAAUUACUUGUUUACAUAUGGAAACAUGUAUUGAAUGCUUUGUUUCAAUUUAAAUAGUGCUGUUGCAGAUUUUAGCAGCAAAACACUCUUUGAUGGGUAUUUCCUCAUUGUUCCUCUAGUAGUGUGCUCUUUUGCCUUCUCUACUUUCUUUCCCAUGCCUGACCUCUCACCAAAUUCUGGUAAAUAUUUAAUAUAGGCAAUUCAGGUCUGGGGGAACUAUAAGUUAAGGUGCCUUAGCCAGAAUAGUUGGAUAAUUUUCAUUGGCUGAAAUAACCUUAACCAGAACCUACUAAAACUAAAACAUCCUCACUUUCAAAUUGGAAAUAAAGCUAUUUUGUAGUUCUAGAUAUGCCAAGAUAAAAUCUUUUGGGAAUCGUGUGUAUGUAUAUUGCUAUCUGAUUAUUAAAUGCUGUAACCAGCUAGGUAAGGUGAGGGCUCUUAGGUACCUUCAGAAUGUUUUGAGAGUAAUUCAAAAGGAAUUUCAAUAAAUAUUUCAUUAUAUAUUAGAUUUUUU